GUAGGGAAUAUUGGACAAUGGGGGGAACCCUGAUCCAGCCAUGCCGCGUGGAGGAAGACUGCCCUCUGGGUUGUAAACUCCUUUUAUAUGGGACGAACCGUCCUCAUUAAUGAGUGACCUGACGGUACCAUAGGAAUAAGCACCGGCUAACUCCGUGCCAGCAGCCGCGGUAAUACGGAGGUUGCAAGCGUUAUCCGGAUUCACUGGGUUUAAAGUGUGCGUAGGCUGAUAAAUAAGUCAGUGGUGAAAUCAACGGGCUCAAACUGUUAACUGCCAUUGAUACUGUGUAUCUUGAAUAUGAGAGAGGUAGGCGGAAUGUUGCAUGUAGCGGUGAAAUUCAUAGAUAUGCUACGGAACACCGAUUGUGAAGGCAGCUUACUAUUUCGUCAUUGACGCUGAGGCACUAAAGCGUGGGUAGCGAACAGGAUUAGAAACCCGUGUAGUCC
rnacentral:rRNA from 1 species